rnacentral:ncRNA from 2 species
UAAUUGAAGAGUUUGAUCAUGGCUCAGAUUGAACGCUGGCGGCAGGCCUAACACAUGCAAGUCGAGCGGAAACGAGAAGGUGCUUGCACCUUCGGCGUCGAGCGGCGGACGGGUGAGUAAUGGCUGGGUACCUGCCCUGAUGUGGGGGAUAACAGUUGGAAACGACUGCUAAUACCGCAUAACGUCUACGGACCAAAGAGGGGGAUCUUCGGACCUCUCGCGUCAGGAUGGGCCCAGUUGGGAUUAGCUUGUUGGUGAGGUAAUGGCUCACCAAGGCAACGAUCCCUAGCUGGUUUGAGAGGAUGAUCAGCCACACUGGAACUGAGACACGGUCCAGACUCCUACGGGAGGCAGCAGUGGGGAAUAUUGCACAAUGGGGGAAACCCUGAUGCAGCCAUGCCGCGUGUGUGAAGAAGGCCUUCGGGUUGUAAAGCACUUUCAGCUGUGAGGAAGG